CGGAUAUGGCGGAAUUGGUAGACGCGCUAGACUUAGGAUCUAGUGGGAGACCGUGGGGGUUCAAGUCCCUUUAUCCGC
rnacentral:tRNA from 1 species